rnacentral:tRNA from 2 species
CGCGGGGUGGAGCAGCUUGGUAGCUCGUCGGGCUCAUAACCCGAAGGUCGCCGGUUCAAAUCCGGCCCCCGCAACCA